UACGAAGGGGGCUAGCGUUGCUCGGAAUCACUGGGCGUAAAGCGCACGUAGGCGGAUUGUUAAGUCAGGGGUGAAAUCCUGGAGCUCAACUCCAGAACUGCCUUUGAUACUGGCGAUCUCGAGUCCGGGAGAGGUGAGUGGAACUGCGAGUGUAGAGGUGAAAUUCGUAGAUAUUCGCAAGAACACCGGUGGCGAAGGCGGCGACCUGGUCCGAUACUGACGCUGAGGCGCGAAAGCGUGGGGAGCAAACAGG
rnacentral:rRNA from 1 species